rnacentral:ncRNA from 1 species
CUAUCGUUUGCCGGUCGCUGAAAACACAGCGAUCGGGUUUGGUAGCCCGCCAU